GAUGAACGCUGGCGGCGUGGAUAAGGCAUGCAAGUCGAGUGGGUUUAGGCCCACGGCAAACGGGUUAGUAAUACAUAGGAACGUGCCUCUAAGUCGUGAAUAAUCCGGAGAAAUCCGGAACAAUACACGAUGUACUCUAUGGAGUAAAGUCUUCGGACGCUUAGGGAGCGGCCUGUGUCCUAUCAGCUUGUUGGUAGUGUAAAGGACUACCAAGGCUAUGACGGGUAGGGGACCUGAGAGGGUGACCCCCAACAUUGGGACUGAGACACUGCCCAAACACCUACGGGUGGCUGCAGUCGAGAAUAUUCCACAAUGGACGAAAGUCUGAUGGAGCGACGCCGCAUGCGGGAUGAAGGCCCUUGGGUCGUAAACCGCUUUUGUAAGGGAAAAAUGUAAUGAUGGUACCUUGCGAAUAAGAGGUUACUAACUCUGUGCCAGCGGUAGCGGUAAUACAGAGACCUCAAGCGUUAUCCGGAUUUAUUGGGCGUAAAGAGCAUGUAGGCAGAUAUGUUAGUCAGAUGUCAGAUCUUCGAGCUCAACUCGAAAACUGCAUUUGAAACGGCAUAUCUAGAGAAAGCAAGAGAUCAAUGGAACAUAUGGUGUAGCAGUGAAAUGCGUUGAUAUCAUAUGGAACACCAAAGGCGAAGGCAUUUGAUUGGUGCUUGUCUGACGCUGAGAUGCGAAAGCGUGGGUAGCGAAUGGGAUUAGAUACCCCAGUAGUCCACGCCCUAAACGAUGCAUACUAGGUAUUGGGAGAAUCGACCCUCCCAGUGUCGUAGCUAACGCGAUAAGUAUGCCGCCUGGGAAGUACGAGCGCAAGCUUAAAACUCAAAGGAAUAGACGGGGAUCCGCACAAGUGGUGGAGCAUGUGGUUUAAUUCGACAAUAAGCGAGGAACCUUACCAGGGCUUGAAACUUAGCUGCAUUGUAUGGAAACAUACAAGCCUUCGAGGGUGCUAAGCAGGUGCUGCACGGUCGUCGUCAGCUCGUGCCGUAAGGUGUUCUGUUAAGUCAGGAAACGAGCGCAACCCCUAUCGCGUGUUAUAUUGUCACGCGAGACUGCCCAGAACAGAGGUCAUGAAACACGAAACACGAAAACAUGAAACAAUUGAAAUUUUUGUUACGUGUUGCGUGCCAUAUGUUUCGUGAAUUGUGUUCUGGGAGGAAGGUGGGGAUGACGUCAGAUCAGCGUGGCCCUUUGACGCCCUGGGCGACACACGUGCUACAAUGGCCAGUACAAAGGGUUGCCAAGUCGUAAGACGGAGCUAAUCCCAAAAAGCUGGUCCCAGUUCGGAUUGAGGUCUGCAGCUCGACCUCAUGAAGCCGGAAUCACUAGUAAUCGUGAAUCAGCCAUGUCACGGUGAAUACGUUCUCGGAUCU
rnacentral:rRNA from 1 species